CAGAACAGAAUCUUCAUCAUCACACAAACCAAAAGAACAACAAUGACUUUCAUCAUCAUCUUCAUCUGGACUCUUUCAGUUUUUAUUCUGGAAUCGAGAGGAGUAACUCUGACUCAACCUAAAGUAAAAAGUGUUCAACAAGGACAAACAGCUACAAUAGAGUGUCAUAUAGAUGUAGGAAUAUAUAGCAGCUACUUAGCCUGGUACUUAAAGAGACCUGGAGAAACUCCAAAACUCCUCAUAUAUUACAUAAAUACUCUUCAUUCAGGAACUCCAUCAAGAUUCAGUGGCAGCGGAUCAAACACAGAUUUCACUUUGACCAUCAGUGGAGUUCAGUCUGAAGAUUCAGGAGAUUAUUACUGUCAAAGUUUACACAUACCUAGUGGCUAUGUGUUGACACAGUGA